AUUCAAUGUAAGAUAGGGAUCUUCAACAGGGGGUCCGGGACCCAUAGGGGGUCCUCAGAAUCAAUGCAGUGGGGCCUUCAAAUUAUUGUGAAUUUUUGUAAGUUUUU